UACGUAGGGUGCAAGCGUUAAUCGGAAUUACUGGGCGUAAAGCGUGCGCAGGCGGUUUUGUAAGUCUGUCGUGAAAUCCCUGGGCUCAACCUGGGAAUGGCAGUGGAUACUGGAAAGCUAGAGUGCGGUAGAGGGUAGUGGAAUUCCCGGUGUAGCAGUGAAAUGCGUAGAGAUCGGGAGGAACACCAGUGGCGAAGGCGGCUACCUGGACCAGCACUGACACUGAGGCACGAAAGCGUGGGGAGCAAACAGG
rnacentral:rRNA from 1 species